rnacentral:rRNA from 1 species
GAACGAACGCUGGCGGCAUGCCUAACACAUGCAAGUCGAACGAGACCUUCGGGUCUAGUGGCGCACGGGUGCGUAACGCGUGGGAAUCUGCCCUUGGGUUCGGAAUAACAGUGAGAAAUUACUGCUAAUACCGGAUGAUGUCUUCGGACCAAAGAUUUAUCGCCCAGGGAUGAGCCCGCGUAGGAUUAGGUAGUUGGUGGGGUAAUGGCCUACCAAGCCGACGAUCCUUAGCUGGUCUGAGAGGAUGAUCAGCCACACUGGGACUGAGACACGGCCCAGACUCCUACGGGAGGCAGCAGUGGGGAAUAUUGGACAAUGGGCGAAAGCCUGAUCCAGCAAUGCCGCGUGAGUGAUGAAGGCCUUAGGGUUGUAAAGCUCUUUU